UGUGUGAUGAGUGAAUGGGGGGACGGGUUUAGAAAUAAGGGGAGGGUUGGGCAGGAUGAUGCGGUGGGAAUCUUCCUGUGCCUGGGGGGGGAGACACACGCCAUUACUGAUGUCAAAACACAGAUUUGGUAUAAGCAUGCAUUGACACAUAGAGUGCAAAAACCCACAUGUGAGAGUAAAUGGGCAGACACAUAUCCGGACAUUACACCCAACAUUUUGUGGAAGUACAUUAACAUACCGCACACACCGCAUGCAAUAUUUGAUCUUGAUUUCAAGAUAAGGCACAGGAGGAUUUUCACAUGCAUCAUCCUGCACCAAAUGCACAGGGGAGUGUAUGGGAGGACGUGUAUGGUGUGUGAAAGUGGGGAUGAAGACGUGAAUCACAUUUUUGUGCAUUGUUGCGAGCUAGCGGAAUUCUGGGGAAAAAUCAAGGGGCUGCUGGGAGGGUGCAGUGUGGGAGACUGCUGGGUGGAACGGGGGUGGGAAUUGUCUGUACUCUUGGGAGUGAGUAGGAAAUAUAGAAAUUGGAAAAUGAUCAAUAUGAUCUUUGGAUUCGCAAGGAGGGCGAUUUUUAACAGACGCAAUUUUGCGCUGUAUGAAAGGAGAAAGUUGGAUGCAUGGAGGCUGUUUGUGAAUGAAUGGAAAAGACACUUACGAAUGCUGUAUGUUGUGGACGAGGCUUUGUUUGUGAGUAUGUUUGUAGAGAGCGCGGGAGUAUGUGGUGUGAAUGGAAAAGACACUUACGAAUGCUGUAUGUUGUGGACGAGGCUUUGUUUGUGAGUAUGUUUGUAGAGAGCGCGGGAGUAUGUGGUGUGAAUGAGAAUGGAAUUGUAUGGAUGACUGAGCAGGGCACCGUUUGGGGUUGAUUUGGGUGGUUUAAAGGGGGUGACUUAUUUUUGGAGGUGGGAGAGUGGGGUUUUUUUGGGGGGAUUUUGGUUUUGUGUGGUUUUUUCGAAUGAGGGGUGGUUUAAUUUUGUGGGUAAAUGGUCGAGGUUAAAAGAUUCUGUGUUUGGCUGUUCGGUUUGUGCUUUGGGUUUGAGGGGCGGUUUAAUUUCGAGGGUAAGUGUAUUCGGGAAAAGAUAUUGCUUUUGCUGUGUGGUUCUUAUUUUUAAUUUAAAAGAGAAAGUGUGUUUAGUUAAUUGUUUGUGCGGUUUCUGAGGGUGGUUUAAUUUGUGGGACUGUUUUUCAUUUACUUUUAUUGAUUUACGUAUAAAUGAAUGCGUAAUUGUAUUAAAUGGAAUAUAUUUUUGAUAAUAAAAAAAGAUAAAAAAAAAAAAAAAAAAGGCACGCCCGAUCUCGUCUGAUCUCGGAAGCUAAGCAGGGUCGGGCCUGGUUAGUACUUGGAUGGGUGACCGCCUGGGAAUACCAGGUGCUGUAAGCAUUAUACUUUUUCAACUCGAGCUCAUUGGAUGCAAUGGCCUACGUGCUGAUCUUUAGCGCCCACUGUUUUGG
rnacentral:lncRNA from 1 species